CUCAGCUCAGCUUCUCAAAGUCUUCCUGGUGGCGGAGGCAGGAGCUGUGACUGAAUGAAGAGAUCAGAGUGCAGCUCCCAUCCUGGGAGCUGUCUUCACUGGCGCCAUGGCAGCGAUUCAAGAAGCACAGGCAAAGUCAGCCUGCCUGAGCCUUUCCAGCCAAGCAGAGGAUCUUCAUUAUUAAAAGCGGGAAAAUGAUCUGGCUUGGUUCCAGCAGAGACUCUCACCAUUUUUAAGUAUCGUACAUAAUUUCUAUCAAGGAAAUCCCAUGUGGAGAAAAAUACCCUAAAAUCUAAACUCUUGUGAGGUUUUGAAGCUGGGAUAUUCCACUACUGAACAUUAAAUUAGGUACUUUGGAAGCCUUGAAAUGAUACUUUGCUGAAAAAACAGUUUGACCUACAGGGAGAGAUGAAGCAGCUGAACAGCAAGGCUGUGGCCCUGAGGGAGGCUGGACUGCAGAACGGAUCGCAGGGUCGAAGGGAGCCGGAAUCUAUCCUAACAAGCCAUAGGUGCAAGGCAGGAUACACCCUGGACACGACGCCAGUCCUUCACAGGGCAAGCAAAGACAUGCAAACACAGAUGAAAGCCAAUUUUCCCAGAAGCCAACUACGCCACCAGCAUGUCUCUAGACUGUGGGAGGAAAUUGGAGCACACAGAAGAAACACAUCACGAACAGGGGGAGAUCAUACAAUCUCCAGGCAGGUAGCACCCCAGGUCUGGAACUGAACACAGGGCCCCAGCACCGUGAGGCAGCAAUGCUGACCCCUGCACUACAGUGGUGCCAUUACUGCAUAACUACUAUCUCCUAAAUGAAAUAGCUUAGUCAAUAGGUAUAUAUAUUACAUUUGCAGAGUACUUUUAUGAUAAUUUACUAUAAGAAAAUAAAACCUUUUUAGAAUAUGUUAUCUCUGUGGAAGACAUUAGCCUAAUGAAUAAUACUAAAUACCACAGGAAUAUAAAUAGUAAUAGGAAAACGCAACAUCAUAUACAUAAGCAAAUGUUUUCACACACUUGUAAGAGUUCUCUAUACAAACUCUGGUUAAGGAUAAUUAUCCUUAUAAUUAUCUACAAGCCCCCUGUUAUUGCUGUUAAUACCUUUAAACUUUUAUAAUGGCAGACUGUCACAAAGAUGAUUUUCACACAGAAAAUUCUGAGGCAAAACCUCAAUGAUCAGAUUAAACAAGAAAACAAAACAGUCUUACAAUAUUUGUUCCUUUGACAGUAAGAUAAGUUAUUGAGUAUGACAGGUGAACAGGUGUAAUAAGAACCCUAAAUACACCUGUUAGUCUAUAUGAAAUAAGCACAAAGAAGAAGGACUAAUAUCCAGGGAUUCCUAUGGAAUGACUUGACAGAAUCUGGUACAUCAGGUCAUAGGAGAAUAACAUCUGAUGAAGGAAAUAUUUUUUAUUAUAAGCAAAUAUAAACUAAAAAAUGAUACAGUGUGAUCAGAAGCUGGUUUGCAAGCCCUAAGCUUCAGAGGGAGAUGAAAAAGAGAGGCUGACAGUCAAAUGCCCUUCAGGCCUGCUGUUCUACAUGGUGGCAGGUCGGGUUUGGAUCUUCAGAAAAGUGAGAUGAUGCGCUUCUGACAGAAAAGAUACCAGGCUGUUCCUGGUGUGGUGAAGCACUCAUCCCAGUCCACAACAGAAGUGCAGAGGAAGAAAGGAAUCUCAGCACUGGGCUGGCCACGGAGGCUACAUGACUAUUGAAAAACAUACAUUCCUGAAACAUGCCAAGAUGUUUUGUAAAGCCCAAAGCAGGCUGUAAUCAAAGCCCAAGAACAAACUACCUGCUUGUUUAGCCCGUGUGACUACGCUCAUCCACAAUGUCCGCCAUUGGAAUGUGAUUCAAUCUGUAACAGUCUGAGUGCUGGUUUAUGAAAACACAUGCAGUAUGUAACUCACAAUACUCCAAGUCUUAUACUGGACGAAUGCAGGAACAAAGUAAACAUUUUUCCUAAGCAUUGUAUUUGGAAGUCCUCAUUCCUUGAUGGUGAGAAAAGGCAAUGCGAUACUGUUGUCGGCAGUAGAGUUACAGAAAAAAUAAUAAUGCUACAAGUCUGAUAUUUGCCUUGGCAGACGGUGUCACAGUUUCCUUUCCCCAGCUGAGGGCAGACCCAUUCCCUGCUCCAUGAGGGUCCUCCCCAAGAACAGCAGCCAGUGCGAAACCACGCAGUUUCCAGUCGUGACAAACCUAGGGGAAAUACAGUUUGGGACUGCUCGCCGAGUGUGGCAAAUAUCCCAGCACUCACUGAGAAGAACUUCGCUUGCACAAACUUAACCCGGAACAGACUGCUAUGUUUAAUAUGUUAUGAUAUUUAACAAGUUUCGAGCUUUAAUAAAUAAUGUUCUUUCCAUCCAUCUAUUUUCUAACCACUAUAUCCAGUACAGGGUUGCGAGAGGAGCCGGAGCCUGUCUCAGCAAGCUCUGGGAGCAUGGCAGGAUGUGUCCUGGGCAGCACACCUGUCAAUCAUGUUCAUUACCUUAACAUACUGAAGUUUUUAUAUCUCUAUGUGCCUAUAUGCCCAAAAAUGGAGGAACAGUUUUUUUUUUAAGAAUCCCUUGUUUGACAAAGUGUUUGUUAUUAGAAUGCCCACUUCACCCAUUUCUGAAGUCCAAGACCCAUCUGAGUGAUACUCAGCAGCCAGUAUAGACCAGCAACCCCAACACACAGCAGAUCACGGAGAAACAAGAGGAGAAACUCCAUCACCGUUGAAUUAAGGGGAACAUUUAAUACAGCUAGAUUGUUCAAACCCAGAGUGGCCUUUACCCAUGGCACCAGGGGAAAAUGUCCUUUCUCUUAUGAAACAUACUUUAAAGACCUCAGUUUAACAUUUGGAAGAUGUUGUAUCUUACAGCCACAAUACUGGGGAACUGGAAAUUCAGGUUCAGAGAGAAGAGCACCACCUACUGGUCCACCAACACUGCCUGCACAACCUCCUGGUUUUCCUUAGAGGUCUCCCAUCCAAGAACCAGCCAGACCAGCCUUGCUUGGCUUUGAAACCAGACAACAAGCUUGAAACACUGCUGGUAACUACAACACAUAAUAACUACUGUACAUCAUUAAAACAAAGUUUAAUCUAAAAAGAAACUUGCCAUAAAGUCAGGCUAAGGCCUGUUUGAACUUGCCUACCUGUUAGAUUGCAAAACCCAGAAGUUCUACUGUUUCUUCAAGUAAACAUCCUGGCUGAUUUGUAAGAACCUGAUAACCCCGAAUUUCUGCAUCAAGCACUGGCAGGAUUCAGACACCAGCGGCUGAAGAGACGGCCCACAGGCUCAGCAAUGAAAACAUAGAUGAAACAUCCAAGAGACAAGCUUUUUCAACUUCAAUUUUAAAGUGAAUUCCAAGGCUCCUUCCUUUGUAGACAAAAACAACCAUUGAUGGCUCUCAAGGAAAGAAGUCUUUCUAGGAACGCAAGAAAAGAAUGUAUCAUCUUUCAAAGGAUGGAAGCAGAACAAAUUCUAGGAAACGUAACCACCUACCAAUAAUCCAAACAGCCCAAAAACACGACAGGACAGCCUCCAAUUAAACACUAGCUGGUCACAUCCAAUAUGUAAUAUACCGCACCCUCAAGGCCUGUCAGAAGGCAUGAGCAGAGCGGAGAAAGUUUAAAUGAUUCACAAUUAUCUUGGCAUAAGAAACAUUUAUAACAGCAGCUGGAAUUUAGUUUCAGCCCAUUCACGCAGGAAAUGUGAAACUGAAAUCAAACAUUUAGACCUAGAUUUAAUGCCAUUUUUAGCUCCACAUGAAGCCUAACAGGAACAGUUAUGUUUGAGAAGCACAGUGAGGCAGGAUCAUUGCCCUUCUUAUCUACAAUAAAUGACAUCUGAUGAUGAUAAUAAUGAAAACACCAUCCCUCUUCUCUUUUAAAGUUGAAAUAAGCACAUAUCAGGUAUUGGACAGUGUGUGUGAUUUUCAUUCUCUGAGUUCACUCCUAAAGUCCUCUAAAGGAGUCUCUAUUGUCCUCAAAAAAGAGCUUAAGAGUCACGUAACAGGAAAACAAAAGCAGUUGAAUAGUCCCACCAUUGUUUUAAAAAACUGGUGGAUUUGGAGGUAGCAUGCUUCCAUUGUUGUUUUCCUUUCCUGACAGACACACACAAACUCCAGUUCACACAAUAUGAAACAAAGCUUUUCUCAUAGAAUACUUUUGGACUUUGGCCUUCUACCUGUUUAAACAGAAGUACAUGUCUUCCUAGCUGCUCUGGCACCUGAAUGGCGAUUUCAAAAACAAGGCAAAGAUUACCACAGUACCAGCUCUACCAGUCAUUGUGACCUAAAAAUAAAUUAUGCAAAUGUUGAAAAUGUACAUCGCUUCCAUCCAGUUUCUAGCCACUAUAUCCACUACAGGUCUGUGGGAAUGCUGGAGCCUAUCCCAGCAAGCAA